rnacentral:piRNA from 1 species
UGGUAAAAAUAUUAGCUACUU